rnacentral:lncRNA from 1 species
UUUAUUGUACUUGGUUUAUGUACUCGGUUUAGGGUUACAAUAAUAGUUUUAUACUUGAUUUUUGUGCUCGGUUUAGAGUUAGAGUUAUGUACUUAAUUUUUUGUUGUGGUUUGAGUACUCGCUUUGCUUGUACUUGAUUAUUAAUAUUAGGUUUGUGUUGUACUUAUUAUUAAUAUUAGGUUUGUUGUACUUGGUUUUUAUACCCAAUUUAGAAUUAAAAUUAUGUACUUGAUUUUUAUACUUGAUUUAGAAUUAGAGUUGUAUUAUCAAAGCCAAACAAUAUAAAGGGUCUUUGCUGAGAAAACUCAAGAAGAACGAGAUCUGAAGAAAACCGCCGCAAAGCUUUGAUGAAUCUCUUGAUUUUUUUUCUCACAAAUAGAUAAACACGCUGCAAAAAUAUAUUAAAAAGAACAAGAUUCAACACUAAUUAGAAUCAAAAUGUAUAUGGAACUCUCACUAUUCUAAUAAUAAAAAGCAAUUUCUUCCACCUAGUCAAACUUUUAACCCUCCGUCAAUUAAAAAUCACCGGCCAUCGACGCCGACCAUGAAGAAAAAACCAAAUCCAAGGAAGAAAAGGAUGACGACUCCCCAAUCGAGCAGAUCUAGAGGUCUUCUUCAGAUCCGGUGAUCUUCUUCAUCAUCGGUUGCUCAUCGGCCGGUGGUACGCCGGUGGAUGGAGGUUAAUCCGGGAAGUGCCGGUUGUCCCGAGCAAAAUUGAGAGGAAAAUGAUUUUUUGUUGUUUGGUGGGUUUGAGAUUAUGAAAAUCCUACAGGUGGUUGGGGUUUUUUAUAUUCAGAACAUUUACAUAUUUACCUUUUUUAUUUUAAAUUAUUAGAUUUUAGUAACAACAUCUAAUAAUUAAUAUGAGUGUUGUUAUGUAACAACAUAUUAUCCUGUGGUCACAAAAGUGUAUCCGAUUCCGCCAGGGCCACUCUUAAUGAUGAAUGCAACGAGAGUUAUGGUAUUGAAAUCUCGUUCUUCUAUAUGUAAUGUAAGGGGCGGACUGGUUGAGUCUAAAGAUGAAGGCUGUUGCUUUUCUUUAUGGGAUUUGACAUCUGAGCAGAG